rnacentral:rRNA from 1 species
AGUCGAGGGGUAUUGGUUUUCGGACCAAGAGACCGGCGCACGGGUGCGUAACGCGUAUGCAAUCUACCUUUCACAGAGGGAUAGCCCAGAGAAAUUUGGAUUAAUACCUCAUAGUAUGCAGAGUUGGCAUCAACUCUGCAUUAAAGUCACAACGGUGAAAGAUGAGCAUGCGUCCCAUUAGCUAGUUGGUAAGGUAACGGCUUACCAAGGCAACGAUGGGUAGGGGUCCUGAGAGGGAGAUCCCCCACACUGGUACUGAGACACGGACCAGACUCCUACGGGAGGCAGCAGUGAGGAAUAUUGGACAAUGGGCGCAAGCCUGAUCCAGCCAUGCCGCGCGCAGGAUGACGGUCCUAUGGAUUGUAAACUGCUUUUGUACGAGAAGAAACACUCCUUCGUGAAGGAGCUUGACGGUAUCGUAAGAAUAAGGAUCGGCUAACUCCGUGCCAGCAGCCGCGGUAAUACGGAGGAUCCAAGCGUUAUCCGGAAUCAUUGGGUUUAAAGGGUCCGUAGGCGGUUUAGUAAGUCAGUGGUGAAAGCCCAUCGCUCAACGGUGGAACGGCCAUUGAUACUGCUAGACUUGAAUUAUUAGGAAGUAACUAGAAUAUGUAGUGUAGCGGUGAAAUGCUUAGAGAUUACAUGGAAUACCAAUUGCGAAGGCAGGUUACUACUAAUGGAUUGACGCUGAUGGACGAAAGCGUGGGUAGCGAACA